rnacentral:misc_RNA from 1 species
GAUGAAGAACGCAGCGAAAUGCGAUAAGUAGUGUGAAUUGCAGAAUUCAGUGAAUCAUCGAAUCUUUGAACGCACAUUGCGCCCCUUGGUAUUCCAAAGGGCAUGCCUGUUCGAGCGUCAUUUGUACCCUCAAGCUUUGCUUGGUGUUGGGCGUCUUGUCUCCAGUCCGCUGGAGACUCGCCUUAAAGUCAUUGGCAGCCGGCCUACUGGUUUCGGAGCGCAGCACAAGUCGCACUCUUUUCCAGCCAAGGUCAGUGUCCAACAAGCCUUUUUUCAACUUUUGACCUCGGAUCAGGUAGGGAUACCCGCUGAACUUAAGCAUAUCAAUAAGCGGAGGA